AGUGAACGCUGGCGGUAGGCCUAACACAUGCAAGUAGAACGGCAGCACAGUAAUAGCUUGCUCUUACGGGUGGCGAGUGGCGGACGGGUGAGGUAUACAGCGGAAUCUACUGUUUCGGGGGGGAUAACGUAGGGAAACUUACGCUAAUACCGCAUACGUCCUCAGGGUGAACGCAUCACAACUUCGGACCUUGCGCGAUUGAAUGAGCCGAUGACGGAUUCGCUAGUUGGCGGGGUACAGCCCCACCCAGGCGACGAUCCGUAGCUGGUCCGAGAGGAUGAUCAGCCAACCUGUAACUGAGAUGCGGUCCAGCCUCCUACGGGACGCAGCAGUGGGGAAGAUGGGUCAAUGGGCGCAAGCCUGAUCCAGCCAUACCGCGCGGGUGAAGAAGGCCUUCGGGGUGUAAAGCCCUUUUGUGGGGAAAGAAAAGCAGCAGGUUAAUACCCCGCGGUUCUGACGGUACCCAAAGAAUAAGCACCGGCUACCUUCGU
rnacentral:rRNA from 1 species